rnacentral:rRNA from 1 species
GACGAACGCUGGCGGCGUGCUUAACACAUGCAAGUCGAACGGAAAGGCCCUGCUUUUGUUCGGUGCUCGAUUGCCGAACGGGUGAGUAACACGUGUGUAUCCUGCCCUUGUCUUUGGGAUAACUUCUCGAAACUGCGGCUAUUAUCGCGUAUGAUCUCCUGCUCCGUAGGGGGGAUUGGUAAGUUUCGGCUGUAGGGGAUGGACUGGAGGCUUCUCAGCCUGUUUGUGAGGUAGUGGCUUACCAGGGCUUUGAGGGGUAGCCUGCCUGAGAGGGUGACCGGCGACAUUGGGCCUACGAUACGGACCAGACUCGUACGUGAGGCAGUAGUGGGAAAUAUUGCACAAUGGGCGGAAGCGUGAUGCAGCAACGCCGCGUGCGGGAUGACGGCCUUCGAGUUGUAAACAGAUUUCGCAUGUACCAAGGCGUGAGUGACGGUAAUGGGUAAAGAAGCAACGGCUAACUACGUG